rnacentral:rRNA from 1 species
UACAGAGGUCUCGAGCGUUGUUCGGAUUCAUUGGGCGUAAAGGGCGCGUAGGCGGCGGGGUAAGUCUGGUGUGAAAUCUCGGAGCUCAACUCCGAAAUUGCACUGGAUACUGCUCUGCUAGAGGGCUGGAGAGGAGAUCGGAAUUCACGGUGUAGCAGUGAAAUGCGUAGAUAUCGUGAGGAAGACCAGUGGCGAAGGCGGAUCUCUGGACAGCUCCUGACGCUGAGGUGCGAAAGCGUGGGGAGCGAACAGGAUUAGAUACC